rnacentral:rRNA from 1 species
AAACAACUUCAAAACUUUCAACAAUGGAUCUCUUGGUUCUCGCAUCGAUGAAGAACGCAGCGAAAUGCGAUACGUAAUGUGAAUUGCAGAAUUCCGUGAAUCAUCGAAUCUUUGAACGCACAUUGCGCCCUCUGGUAUUCCGGGGGGCAUGCCUGUUUGAGCGUCAUUU